UACGGAGGGUGCAAGCGUUGUUCGGAAUCACUGGGCGUAAAGCGCGUGUAGGCGGCCCAUUAAGUCUGAUGUGAAAGCCCGGGGCUCACCCCCGGAAGUGCAUUGGAAACUGAUGGACUCGAGUCCCGGAGAGGAGGGUGGAAUUCCCGGUGUAGCGGUGAAAUGCGUAGAUAUUAGGAGGAACACCGGUGGCGAAGGCGGCUUACUGGACUGUAAAUGACGCUGAGGCUCGAAAGCGUGGGGAGCAAACAGG
rnacentral:rRNA from 1 species